UCCUCCGUGGUGUAACCGGCAGCACACGGGUCUUUGGAACCCAUGGUCCAGGUUCGAAUCCUGGCGGAGGAGCCG
rnacentral:tRNA from 2 species